GCGGGUGUGUUGAAAUUGGUAGACAAGCCAGACUUAGGAUCUGGUGCUUCCAGCGUAUGGGUUCGAGUCCCUUCACCCGCA
rnacentral:tRNA from 1 species